rnacentral:lncRNA from 1 species
UCACAAUAAAAACAAGUCUCACAUCAAACCUAGUAAAGAUAUCAAAUACGAUCAAACCAAGUUCAAAGCAAACACGAUAAAGAUAAAGCAAGCAAAUCCAACUCCUAGACUCUCUCCCCCUUUGGCACCAAGACACCAAAAAGGGGCACACCUAAGACACAGGUGGUCACUCCUCAUCCUCAGACUCAUUCAUGGCAUCCGGAUCCUGCUCGUCCUGCUCCUCCUCAAUGUCCUCGUCAGAAACCUCCUCCUCAGCAUCAGAUCCAUCCCACUG